rnacentral:rRNA from 1 species
GACGUAGGAUGCAAGCGUUGUCCGGAUUUAUUGGGCGUAAAGAGCUCGUAGGCGGUUUGUCGCGUCUGCCGUGAAAGUCCGGGGCUCAACUCCGGAUCUGCGGUGGGUACGGGCAGACUAGAGUGAUGUAGGGGAGACUGGAAUUCCUGGUGUAGCGGUGAAAUGCGCAGAUAUCAGGAGGAACACCGGUGGCGAAGGCGGCGAGCUGGUCCGUAUCUGACGCUGAGGCGCGACAGCGUGGGGAGCAAACAGG